rnacentral:lncRNA from 1 species
UCCCCGAUUAAUUAUAUAUCUUUAAUGUUUUAACAAUGUUUUAGUUUUACUUCACAUAAUCAAUAAAGUUAUAAAAAUAGAUUUAUGAGUAUCUUAACUACAUUGGUUGGUACACUUCGAUCUUUUUGGUAAUAAGAAGGACCGGAGGUAUGUAAACUGGUUCCCGGUUGAUUACUACACAUGAUAAUACAAGCAGAUUCCAGUUUGUAUGUAAAAUAGUAAAUACGAAACCAAGCGCGGUAGGCGGAGAAAUGUAAUGGGGAAGAAAAUAUACGAAACCAAGCGAGGAAGGCAGAGAAAUGUAAUGGAAGUUCAGGUCAGCAGUAUUGGAACAAGACGCUGAAAGCGUCAUUUUCCAAAAA